GUUCUCUUUGGUAGCACAUACACUAAAAUUGAAACUCUACAGAGAAGGUUAGCAUGGCUCCUAUCAAGGAUGACACACAAAUUCACGAAGCAUUCCAUAUUUCU